rnacentral:rRNA from 1 species
AACGAACGCUGGCGGCAUGCCUAACACAUGCAAGUCGAACGAGACCUUCGGGUCUAGUGGCGCACGGGUGCGUAACGCGUGGGAACCUGCCCUUAGGUUCGGAAUAACUCCCCGAAAGGGGUGCUAAUACCGGAUAAUGUCUUCGGCCCAAAGAUUUAUCGCCUUUGGAUGGGCCCGCGUUGGAUUAGCUAGUUGGUAGGGUAAAAGCCUACCAAGGCGACGAUCCAUAGCUGGUCUGAGAGGAUGAUCAGCCACACCGGGACUGAGACACGGCCCAGACUCCUACGCGAGGCAGGAGUGGGGAAUAGUGGAAAAUGGGCGAAAGCCUGAUCCAGCAAUGCCGCGUGAGUGAUGAAGGCCUUAGGGUUGUAAAGCUCUUUUACCCGGGAUGAUAAUGACAGUACCGGGAGAAUAAGCCCCGGCUAACUCCGUG